UAGCCAUAUCAUGUUGAAACACAGCUUCACGUACGAUCACCGAAGUUAAGCAACGUCGAACCUGGUCAGUACAUAGAUGUAUGACCGCUUUGGAAUACCAGGUGU